rnacentral:ncRNA from 1 species
ACCUCGAUCCCGAAAGGGUAACGGCGUCAAGCCGGAGUGACGAGUCAGCAGAGGCCGUAGUAGCCAGAGGACAGACCGGCAAGGUUGGAGCUAUUGGCGAAGGGC